rfam:Strongyloides stercoralis strain PV0001 genome assembly, scaffold: SSTP_scaffold0000002
UAUAAAGCUUUAUUGAAAGCUACUAUUAUAAAGAAACAAUUAAUUU